rnacentral:rRNA from 1 species
UUCUGGCUCAGGAUGAACGCUAGCUACAGGCUUAACACAUGCAAGUCGAGGGGCAGCAGGGAAGUAGCUUGCUAUUCCGCUGGCGACCGGCGCACGGGUGAGUAACGCGUAUCCAACCUGCCCCGUACUCGGGGACAGCCCUCUGAAAGGAGGAUUAAUACCCGAUAUUGUCGCUGUGGGACAUCCCAUGGUGAUGAAAGAUUCAUCGGUACGGCGAUGGGGAUGCGUAUGAUUAGGACGUAGGCGGGUAACGGCCCACCUAUCCGACGAUCAUUAGGGGUUCUGAGAGGAAGGUCCCCCACAUAGGAACUGAGACACGGUCCUAACUCCUACGGGAGGCAGCAGUGAGGAAUAUUGGUCAAUGGGCGAGAGCCUGAACCAGCCAAGUAGCGUGAAGGAAUGACUGCCCUAUGGGUUGUAAACUUCUUUUAUAGGGGAAUAAAGUGCUCCACGUGUGGAGUUUUGUAUGUACCCUAUGAAUAAGCAUCGGCUAAUUCCGUGCCAGCCGCAGC